rnacentral:ribozyme from 14 species
UAUUUUAUUUAUUUUAUUUUAUUUCAUUUAUUUGUGUAAUUAAGCGUAAUGAUUUCUGUGAAUUGGGCGCAGAUUCGAGGAGAGACUAGAUCUUUUUCGAAGAAAAGAAGACAGUAUUAUUCAUUUUCUUUUCUUCUUCUUUUUAUUGCGUAGUAAAGAAGAUAGAAGUAUAAUGUAUAUAAAAUUUCUUCUUUUCAUGCA